ACACGACUACAUUAGAUACCCGUGUAGUCCUAGCCGUAAACGNUACUCGCUAGGUGUCGGCCACGGUGCGACCGUUGUCGGUGCCGUAGGGAAGCCGUGAAGCGAGCCACCUGGGAAGUACGGCCGCAAGGCUGAAACUUAAGGAAUUGGCGGGGAGCACCACAAGAGGUGGAGGCUGCGGUUCAAUUGGACUCAACGCCGGAAACUCAUCGGGAGCGACAGCAGUAUGAUUGCCAGGUUGAUGACCUUGCUUGACAAGCUG
rnacentral:rRNA from 1 species